UACGAUCAAGUCCAAGAAGAUAUGCAUCAGAAUCGUAGAUUUCGAACAACUGAAGAUUGAGGCAUUGGCAACGGCUUAAUUUGAAGAUUGAUAUUCGAAUAGAGCUUAUUGAGAGCAUCGAUGUAAAAGGACAACCUCUGAUUCAGAAAUCAGAAGGAAGAAAUAAAGUUGACUACCUGCCCAAGACAUGAAAGUGACAUCUCUGAUGGGGUAGGUGAAACAGUAGACUGCAGUGUUAGAAAGUCAGAAAAAGAUGUCAUGUCACAUCUAUAGUCUGCACCAAAUAACUAGAGAUCUGUGAAGCCAUUUGAAUAGCUACCAACAGCUACUUUCCAACGGGAAGAUUAGAAAGCAGUAUAAAUCAAC
rnacentral:lncRNA from 1 species